AGCAGCCUCGUUACAGCAGACUCAUCCCAGGUGAGCAAGUGUGAGCUACUCAACAAUUAGCAAUAGAGUGAGAGCUCUUUUAAUUGUUUUUUCAAACAAACACAAACCACCUGUUCUGCCAUUUUUCAUGCAGGAACAAAAGGAAGCAUGAGUCACAGGUACAGCAUAAAAAGGAAGGCAGAGAGGUUCAGAAGGAUGUUUGCCACUUUGCUGCAGCAUGUGAUAGAGCUUCAAAAUUUAGUGACCAAUUGUUUUAUGUCAUCAUGUGAUUGAGGCAGAAAUAAUAUGAAUAAAUGAAGAAUUCACUGAGGAUUUCUCUCCUGGGUGCUGGAAAGGUCUUUCCCCUGGACCUGACGACAAGAGGCAAUGUCACCACAAGUGUUUCUGGUAGUGCUGUGUGGAGCUGGGAGCUGGACUCGAUGAUCCUUGUGGGUCCCUUCCAACCCGAUAUGCUGUGAUUCUGCUCUAUGAUUCCUCUGGUGAUCUAACUAGAAGAGUCCAGUGAGGUUAGCGGGAUCGUGGAUGUCCCAAGCAUGGACCCCAACCCCAGGCAGUGCUCUGGUGGUGGUGGGAACUGCUCCUCCGUGUAGAGCUGUGUGUAGCUGUGGGCACACAUGUUGGAAGAAGCCACCCAAGGGACCCAGUUUCCUCCAUGCUGCAGAUUUGGGGAUGGUUUAGCUGUGUGCUGUACCUACCCUGCUUCAGGUACUUGAAUAUAAGCCAUAAUCUACUCGGGCUGCACCAUGUGGCUGAGUUCAAGCUUGCUCCAGGAUCUUUGGCUUCUGCUUUCCUGACAAAGCCUGCUGGAUUUCAGGACCUCAGAGCAGCAUUCUUCAGGCUGUGGGAAACGUGGGUGAGUGCUGACUGGGAGGCAGGGCUGUGUCAGAGACCACCAACUCCUCCUCCAGGCAAACUUCCCCUGCUCCAAGUGCGGUAGGGACCAGCUGGGCAGCAGUUCAAGGUCGCUUUCAGAGCAGGCUGGGUCAAAGCAAUGGAAUCACAGUAUUUACUGCAAACACUGCAAAAGCUUUAUGAGCUUUUGAAUAAAUGCUAGGAAGGAGGAGGAAGCUCUGGUGUUUGUACGGAAGGAGAACACAGUGAUGCUACCUAGGAGACUAGCUUCAAAAUUGGCAGUGAUUUUAGACAGGAGCAAAAGAUGCUUCAGUUAUGAGUUAGAAUGAGAACAGGCUUCCUGAAAGCUCUCAGGUUGGGGCCCUGCCCACUGUGAGCAUGGCAUUCUCCUUCUUAUCCAAGGCACUGUAAGAAGCACUGAUAACCGUUCACUGUGGUGCUGAGAGCUCAGAUCCUCACCAGGUGGGAGCUGCUCCAUGGGUCUUUGUUUGCAAAAGGACAUGCAGUCAAACAAGGCAAACUGCAUGUCACAAGCAAUCCGAUGGGAGCAGUGGAACUGUUCAUGGAGCCAGUGGCUGAAUAAGCAGAAAAUAUUUCAAGCCAGGAGAAACAAGUCCAUGUAAUUUGAAUUGCAUUACAAUUUACUUCAGGAUUUUCUUGAAAGACAGAAGUUGCCAUCCCUUCAUUUUGUGUAGCAGUGUAAGUCAGAUUUGUUAAAUACCACUGGGUGUUGUACUUUAACUGCUUUGAAAACACCCCUGAUCAAACACUUUUCAUGUUAUUGACAUCAAAAAUUUUGGGACUUAAGAAACAUUACAGUAACUUCUACAGUGCAAAGAGACCAAGAAGCUGUAAUUUGUUGGGUACACAGUUGGUUUGAUGUGUACACUCCUGUAUUAAAUAUCCCCUUCUGAGCUUAAGAACUCAGGGCCCUUUUCAUACCAAGUGUUUCCUUAUGACCCUCAUCCAUGCUUUUGUCUACUCUUCAAUCCUUUUAGUGACACCUAGUGAAAUUUAUGGAAAGUGCAGCACCCCUUCCACAAUUAAAUGCUAAAGUACUGCAUCUUAUUUAUUGCCACUUAACCUGCUGUCAUUAAAGACUGAUACCAGAUGCAUUUGGGCCAUUUAAAAAUUUCAAGUUUGCAUUCAUACUAUGGUCAAACACUUUACACAUCUGCACAGAGUUAACUUAUUCUCUGUUCCUCUUUAACUUUGUGUACAUGUUUAGAACAGCACUGUUAAUUUAAAUUGUCUUCUAGUAUUGGCACUGUUGUUCCUCUGGAGCACUCCACUUGAAGCUGCAAGUAUUCAGAAUUCUGUGCAAAAAAACAAACUCUUGCAGGAGCUUAAACUACAUGUUUUUAAUAUUUGAUAAUCAGGAUACAUAUAUGGAGUCCUGAGCUUACUGUUAACAGUCAGUCACAUUUCAUCCACUCAUUGCUCUGCAUCAACCCAGGAUGGAUGUGAAGCACUCUUUCAUCAGCAAAUGAAGUUUUCCACAGAAAUCGAAAACGUAUGCCUACUAUCUAGAAAGUAGGCUAAAGACUUCAAAGGAAGAGCUUCCUCUUCAGAGAGAGCAUUCAUAUGCAAUAGCUUUUGAACAUGUAACCUCUUCUUUCUCAAAGUACAAAAACAAGUGGCUUCCGUAAGGUUUAUGUUGGUAUGGAUUUCAGCUGUGCAAACUAUAUGGCAACCAGUACAAACUGGGCUCAUAAAGAGUAGGGAAAAAAAAUACAAAAUGGCUUCAAACAAGCCAAUAUUCAGUGACUGGAACUAGUUCAAAAAAAAACAAACCCUAGGCCUUAUUUGAUAUAAAAGGCUUGGACCUCUCAAAAUAAACAGCCAAUUAAGUCAGAUUCUGAACAGGAGGAUCUGAAGCACCAACAGGAAAGUCUGAAUGCUCACUGCAGAAAGUUCAGUUGUGGGUGUCACCAAGCAUGUAGUCAUCCAGCCGGUACAUGUAAGGUGCCCAGCAUCUCCAAACAAGUUUCCAGGCUGAUAGUUCAGAUCUGGUUUCAUCAUCCUUCUCACAGCUACCUUUUCAGAAUUUAUAAAAUAAAGACUUAAGGGAAAAAUUAAUUCAAAUACACUGACAGCAACAGUUCAAACAUUUUACUAAAUCAAUUCACACGAUUUCAAAAUUGUAAAUAUAAUUAAGAACAACAGGGUUUCUGUAUCUUUUCUUCCAGAUUUAUCAUUAAGACAAUAAACAAACACAAAUUAGGUUUAUAGCAUCUGUUCUCUUAAAAAAU